rnacentral:rRNA from 1 species
GAUGAGCGCUGGCGGCGUGCCUAAUACAUGCAAGUCGAGCGAACGGACGAGAAGCUUGCUUCUCUGAUGUUAGCGGCGGACGGGUGAGUAACACGUGGAUAACCUACCUAUAAGACUGGGAUAACUUCGGGAAACAGGAGCUAAUACCGGAUAAUAUUUUGAACCGCAUGGUUCAAAAGUGAAAGACGGUCUUGCUGUCACUUAUAGAUGGAUCCGCGCUGCAUUAGCUAGUUGGUAAGGUAACGGCUUACCAAGGCAACGAUGCAUAGCCGACCUGAGAGGGUGAUCGGCCACACUGGAACUGAGACACGGUCCAGACUCCUACGGGAGGCAGCAGUAGGGAAUCUUCCGCAAUGGGCGAAAGCCUGACGGAGCAACGCCGCGUGAGUGAUGAAGGUCUUCGGAUCGUAAAACUCUGUUAUUAGGGAAGAACAUAUGUGUAAGUAACUGUGCACAUCUUGACGGUACCUAAUCAGAAAGCCACGGCUAACUACGUG